UACGUAGGGUGCAAGCGUUACUCGGAAUUACUGGGCGUAAAGCGUGCGCAGGCGGCUUUGCAAGACAGAUGUGAAAUCCCCGGGCUUAACCUGGGAACUGCAUUUGUGACUGCAUGGCUGGAGUGCGGCAGAGGGGGAUGGAAUUCCGCGUGUAGCAGUGAAAUGCGUAGAUAUGCGGAGGAACACCGAUGGCGAAGGCAAUCCCCUGGGCCUGUACUGACGCUCAUGCACGAAAGCGUGGGGAGCAAACAGG
rnacentral:rRNA from 1 species